rnacentral:rRNA from 1 species
GACGAACGCUGGCGGCGUGCUUAACACAUGCAAGUCGAACGGAAAGGCCUGCUUUCCCUUGUGGAUUGCGGGUACUCGAGUGGCGAACGGGUGAGUAACACGUGAGUGAUCUGCCCCCAACUUGGGUAUAAGCCUGGGAAACUGGGUCUAAUUCCCGAAAGGACUGCAGGGUGGUGCCUGUGGUGGAAAACGAUUUUCUAGUGGUUGGGGAUGAGCUCGCGGCCUAUCAGCUUGUUGGUGGGGUAAUGGCCUACCAAGGCGGCGACGGGUAGCCGGCCUGAGAGGGUGGACGGCCACAUUGGGACUGAGAUACGGCCCAGACUCCUACGGGAGGCAGCAGUGGGGAAUAUUGCACAAUGGGCGGAAGCCUGAUGCAGCGACGCCGCGUGGGGGAUGACGGCCUUCGGGUUGUAAACUCCUUUCGACCGCGAGGAAGCCACCUGGUUGGAAGGGUGGUGACGGUAGUGGUAGAAGAAGCACCGGCUAACUACGUG